GAUGAACGCUGGCGGCGUGCCUAAUACAUGCAAGUCGAGCGAACAGACGAGGAGCUUGCUCCUCUGACGUUAGCGGCGGACGGGUGAGUAACACGUGGAUAACCUACCUAUAAGACUGGGAUAACUUCGGGAAACCGGAGCUAAUACCGGAUAAUAUAUUGAACCGCAUGGUUCAAUAGUGAAAGACGGUUUUGCUGUCACUUAUAGAUGGAUCCGCGCCGCAUUAGCUAGUUGGUAAGGUAACGGCUUACCAAGGCAACGAUGCGUAGCCGACCUGAGAGGGUGAUCCGCCACACUGGAACUGAGACACGGUCCAGACUCCUACGGGAGGCAGCAGUAGGGAAUCUUCCGAGAUGGGCGAAAGCCUGACGGAGCAACGCCGCGUGAGUGAAGAAGGUCUUCGGAUCGUAAAACUCUGUUAUUAGGGAAGAACAAAUGUGUAAGUAACUAUGCACGUCUUGACGGUACCUAAUCAGAAAGCCACGGCUAACUACGUG
rnacentral:rRNA from 1 species